rnacentral:rRNA from 1 species
UGGGUAGGGGAGCGUUCUGUAAGCCUGUGAAGGUGGCCUGUGAGGGUUGCUGGAGGUAUCAGAAGUGCGAAUGCUGACAUAAGUAACGAUAAAGCGGGUGAAAAGCCCGCUCGCCGGAAGACCAAGGGUUCCUGUCCAACGUUAAUCGGGGCAGGGUGAGUCGACCCCUAAGGCGAGGCCGAAAGGCGUAGUCGAUGGGAAACAGGUUAAUAUUCCUGUACUUGGUGUUACUGCGAAGGGGGGACGGAGAAGGCUAUGUUGGCCGGGCGACGGUUGUCCCGGUUUAAGCGUGUAGGCUGGUUUUCCAGGCAAAUCCGGAAAAUCAAGGCUGAGGCGUGAUGACGAGGCACUACGGUGCUGAAGCAACAAAUGCCCUGCUUCCAGGAAAAGCCUCUAAGCAUCAGGUAACAUCAAAUCGUACCCCAAACCGACACAGGUGGUCAGGUAGAGAAUACCAAGGCGCUUGAGAGAACUCGGGUGAAGGAACUAGGCAAAAUGGUGCCGUAACUUCGGGAGAAGGCACGCUGAUAUGUAGGUGAAGCGACUUGCUCGUGGAGCUGAAAUCAGUCGAAGAUACCAGCUGGCUGCAACUGUUUAUUAAAAACACAGCACUGUGCAAACACGAAAGUGGACGUAUACGGUGUGACGCCUGCCCGGUGCCGGAAGGUUAAUUGAUGGGGUUAGCGGUAACGCGAAGCUCUUGAUCGAAGCCCCGGUAAACGGCGGCCGUAACUAUAACGGUCCUAAGGUAGCGAAAUUCCUUGUCGGGUAAGUUCCGACCUGCACGAAUGGCGUAAUGAUGGCCAGGCUGUCUCCACCCGAGACUCAGUGAAAUUGAACUCGCUGUGAAGAUGCAGUGUACCCGCGGCAAGACGGAAAGACCCCGUGAACCUUUACUAUAGCUUGACACUGAACAUUGAGCCUUGAUGUGUAGGAUAGGUGGGAGGCUUUGAAGUGUGGACGCCAGUCUGCAUGGAGCCGACCUUGAAAUACCACCCUUUAAUGUUUGAUGUUCUAACGUUGGCCCGUUAUCCGGGUUGCGGACAGUGUCUGGUGGGUAGUUUGACUGGGGCGGUCUCCUCCUAAAGAGUAACGGAGGAGCACGAAGGUUGGCUAAUCCUGGUCGGACAUCAGGAGGUUAGUGCAAUGGCAUAAGCCAGCUUGACUGCGAGCGUGACGGCGCGAGCAGGUGCGAAAGCAGGUCAUAGUGAUCCGGUGGUUCUGAAUGGAAGGGCCAUCGCUCAACGGAUAAAAGGUACUCCGGGGAUAACAGGCUGAUACCGCCCAAGAGUUCAUAUCGACGGCGGUGUUUGGCACCUCGAUGUCGGCUCAUCACAUCCUGGGGCUGAAGUAGGUCCCAAGGGUAUGGCUGUUCGCCAUUUAAAGUGGUACGCGAGCUGGGUUUAGAACGUCGUGAGACAGUUCGGUCCCUAUCUGCCGUGGGCGCUGGAGAACUGAGGGGGGCUGCUCCUAGUACGAGAGGACCGGAGUGGACGCAUCACUGGUGUUCGGGUUGUCAUGCCAAUGGCACUGCCCGGUAGCUAAAUGCGGAAGAGAUAAGUGCUGAAAGCAUCUAAGCACGAAACUUGCC